GGGAGUGACUAGUGACAGAGGGAGGGGGUGACUAGGGACAGAGGGAGGGAGGGGGUGACACAGUUACAGAGUUAGGGAGGGAGUGACUAGUGACAGAGAGAGGGAUGGGGUGACUAGUGACAGUCACCCCCCCUCACUCUGUCACCAGUCAUCCCCUCACUCUGUCACUAGUCACCCCUUCCUUCCCUCACUUUGCCACUAGUCAUCUCUUCCCUCCCUCACUCUGUCACUAGUCACCCCCUCUCCCUCCCUCUGUCACUAGUCACCCACUCCC